CUACAGGCUUAACACAUGCAAGUCGAGGGGCAGCAUGGUCUUAGCUUGCUAAGGCCGAUGGCGACCGGCGCACGGGUGAGUAACACGUAUCCAACCUGCCGUCUACUCUUGGACAGCCUUCUGAAAGGAAGAUUAAUACAAGAUGGCAUCAUGAGUCCGCAUGUUCACAUGAUUAAAGGUAUUCCGGUAGACGAUGGGGAUGCAUUCCAUUAGAUAGUAGGCGGGGUAACGGCCCACCUAGUCUUCGAUGGAUAGGGGUUCUGAGAGGAAGGUCCCCCACAUUGGAACUGAGACACGGUCCAAACUCCUACGGGAGGCAGCAGUGAGGAAUAUUGGUCAAUGGGCGAGAGCCUGAACCAGCCAAGUAGCGUGAAGGAUGACUGCCCUAUGGGUUGUAAACUUCUUUUAUAAAGGAAUAAAGUCGGGUAUGUAUACCCGUUUGCAUGUACUUUAUGAAUAAGGAUCGGCUAACUCCGUGCCAGCAGCCGCGGUAAUACGGAGGAUCCGAGCGUUAUCCGGAUUUAUUGGGUUUAAAGGGAGCGUAGAUGGAUGUUUAAGUCAGUUGUGAAAGUUUGCGGCUCAACCGUAAAAUUGCAGUUGAUACUGGAUAUCUUGAGUGCAGUUGAGGCAGGCGGAAUUCGUGGUGUAGCGGUGAAAUGCUUAGAUAUCACGAAGAACUCCGAUUG
rnacentral:rRNA from 1 species